AUGAAUGGUGAAAGGGAAGUGCAUUGGAUUUCUUGGAAAAAUGUGUGCUCCAAAAAGAGAGGGGGACUUGGCUUUCGAGACCCAGAAGCAUUCAACGAGGCUCUUCUGGAAAAGCAAGCAUGGCGGAUUCUGCAUGUUCCAAAAUCUCUGGUGGCUAGGGUUCUCAAGGCUAGAUACUUCAAGGAUAACUCAAUAUUGACAGCCACUUGCCCCUCCAAUGCAUCUUAUACAUUUAGAAGUGUGUUGCAUGGCAGAGACUUGCUACGGGAAGGGGUUAUUUGGAGGAUAGGAGAUAGAUCAAAUGUUCUAUCUCAUCAUGACAAUUGGAUUCCCAGAAACGGAAGGUUGAAGCCACUUGGCCAAGAGUUUGUACAUGGAAUUACAAGGGUAGCUGACUUACUUUAUCACACUGGUACUUCAUGGGAUACACACAAAGUUGAUACUAUGUUCUCCGAGUCUGAUGCAUACGACAUUAAGCAGGUUGCUAUUGGAGGGUCAGGCUCUGAAGAUUACUUGACAUGGAAUUACACGAAAAAUGGUGCCUUUAGUGUCAGGCCAGUGUACCACUUGCGGAUAUCACUGAGGAAAUCUAGGACUGGAAAGCCAGAAUCCUCUAGCUUGGUGAACAAGCAUGAGAGCUAUUUAGCUUUGUGGGACACUAAUGCACCGGCCAAGGCAAAAAUCCACAUGUGGUGA
rnacentral:rRNA from 1 species